rnacentral:rRNA from 1 species
GAUGAACGCUGGCGGCGUGCCUAAUACAUGCAAGUCGAGCGAAGCGGGGACGGGUGAGUAACACGUGGAUAACCUCCUAUAAGACGGGGAUAACUUCGGGAAACCGGAGCUAAACCGGAAACUUAUAGAUGGAUCUGAGCUGCAUUAGCUAGUUGGGAAGGUAACGGCUUACCAAGGCAACGAGGCCUAGCCGACCUGAGAGGGUGAUCAGCCACACUGGGACUGAGACACGGUCCAGACUCCUACGGGAGGCAGCAGUGGGGAAUCUUCCGCAAUGGGCGAAAGCCUGACGGAGCAACGCCGCGUGAGUGAUGAAGGUCUUCGGAUCGUAAAACUCUGUUAUUAGGGAGGCGGUACCUAAACAGGAAGCCACGGCUAACUCCGUGCCAGCAGCCGCGGUAAUUC